rnacentral:rRNA from 1 species
CAGUCGAACGGAGAGGCCUCAGCUUGCUGGGGUACUCGAGUGGCGAACGGGUGAGUAACACGUGGGUGAUCUGCCCUGCACUUUGGGAUAAGCUUGGGAAACUGGGUCUAAUACCGAAUAUGACCACUUCUUGGAUGUUGUGGUGGAAAGCUUUUGCGGUGUGGGAUGAGCCUGCGGCCUAUCAGCUUGUUGGUGGGGUAAUGGCCUACCAAGGCGGCGACGGGUAUCCGGCCUGAGAGGGUGUACGGACACAUUGGGACUGAGAUACGGCCCAGACUCCUACGGGAGGCAGCAGUGGGGAAUAUUGCACAAUGGGCGCAAGCCUGAUGCAGCGACGCCGCGUGGGGGAUGAAGGCCUUCGGGUUGUAAACUCCUUUCGCUAUCGACGAAGCCUUUUAGGUGACGGUAGGUAGAUAAGAAGCACCGGCUAACUACGUGCCAGCAGCCGCGGUAAUACGUAGGGUGCAAGCGUUGUCCGGAAUUACUGGGCGUAAAGAGCUCGUAGGUGGUUUGUCGCGUCGUCUGUGAAAUCCCGGGGCUUAACUUCGGGCGUGCAGGCGAUACGGGCAUAACUUGAGUGCUGUAGGGGAGACUGGAAUUCCUGGUGUAGCGGUGAAAUGCGCAGAUAUCAGGAGGAACACCGAUGGCGAAGGCAGGUCUCUGGGCAGUAACUGACGCUGAGGAGCGAAAGCAUGGGUAGCGAACAGGAUUAGAUACCCUGGUAGUCCAUGCCGUAGACGGUGGGCGCUAGGUGUAGGGGGCUUCCACGUCUUCUGUGCCGUAGCUAACGCAUUAAGCGCCCCGCCUGGGGAGUACGGCCGCAAGGCUAAAAACUCAAAGGAAUUGACGGGG